GUUCGGCUUGGCCCAUCUGGUCUGGAACUGUCUUCAGCAGAGGAGGACUGUUCCCCUCCACAUAAGAAAUCCCUUCCUCCUGCCCCCCCCCCCGCAUAAAUUCUCUCCCUGCAUUUACUGCAGUCACCCCAAACCCCAAUUUAGCCCCAGCCCCUACCACUCCAGCAGCAACCCCAGCAUCUCACAGGCUCUUCACAGAGUUGCUGCAUGGCUGGGAGCCGGGAGAGAAUUUUUCAUCACCUCAGACCUUCAGUUGGACUCCCCAGCAAUCAUCAUAACCAGGUAAACUACUUGGGGCUAAUUGGUGGGACUGACGUACGUGACUGUACAUGGCGUGUCCUUUGGCGGCUAUUUGCCAACAAUUUGGCAAAGCAGCUCAGCUGGAGUGGGGUCGAUGGCAAAAUGUCUCUGGCCUCCCUUCAGUUGAAAGAUGUUGUCAUCGAGAAACCCCUACACCUCCGGUGCUGCUGAGAAAGAGGUAGAAGGGACAAUGAAGAGGUGGCUUCAGCUGGCUGCUGACCGAGAGGGCGGGAGGAAAAGGAGGCUCCUUUCAAAAGAAAAUGUAUAGUGUGUCUGUCUUUGAAAUCAGUGUCUUUAAAAAUCUGUUUUUAUGUUGUUGUUGUCUGCAUUAG